rnacentral:rRNA from 1 species
GAUGAACGCUGGCGGCGUGCCUAAUACAUGCAAGUCGAGCGAACAGACGAGGAGCUUGCUCCUCUGACGUUAGCGGCGGACGGGUGAGUAACACGUGGAUAACCUACCUAUAAGACUGGGAUAACUUCGGGAAACCGGAGCUAAUACCGGAUAAUAUAUUGAACCGCAUGGUUCAAUAGUGAAAGACGGUUUUGCUGUCACUUAUAGAUGGAUCCGCGCCGCAUUAGCUAGUUGGUAAGGUAACGGCUUACCAAGGCAACGAUGCAUAGCCGACCUGAGAGGGUGAUCUGCCACACUGGAACUGAGACACGGUCCAGACUCCUACGAGAGGCAACAGUAGGGAAUCUGCCGCAAUGGGCGAAAGCCUGACGGAGCAACGCCGCGUGGGUGAUGAAGGUCUUCGGAUCGUAAAACUCUGUUAUUAGGGAAGAACAAAUGUGUAAGUAACUAUGCACGUCUUGACGGUACCUAAUCAGAAAGCCACGGCUAACUACGUG